ACCCUUACCCGGCAAGACAGAUACGAGGAUGGAGAUGGCUUCCCAGGGCAAGGCUUAUCCACCGCACUCCAGAAGAGCUGACUCUUGCAAUUCCCCCAAAUUUGGUAAACUCUACCGCAUAAUCUGUGGUCAUGGGGAAACUUGUUCACACCCUCCCUC
rnacentral:snRNA from 14 species